GCGAGACUGAUCACGUGACACAGCAAGAUGGCGACUACAAUGCAGAAUGGGCUUUGAGUGAUUUAAAUUGUCUGUUUUGUUGGAAAUUUGGAUCUUCUGGAUAACUGUUCUUCAUAAUAAUCCUCAUCAUCGUAUCACAGAAUCAAGAUGGCCCUAAAUGUUUUUGAUCAUGAUGAAUACCGGCCUCCUGUGUGGAAGUCUUACUUGUACCAGCUCCAGCAGGAGGCGCCUCACCCGCGCAGACUCACCUGCACAUGUGAGGUGAGAAAACCCUUCAGAAUAAUAU